rnacentral:lncRNA from 1 species
AUUUUUUGUAACAUUUUCUCUUUUAUUUUCUAUUCCUUUUCUUUUUGUUCUUCACUUUUUUUUUUCUCUCAUUCCCUUUUCUUUCUUCCCCUUCCCCUUCGCCUUCCGCUUCCACCCAAACCACUCUUCCAGUACACCCAUGUUUUUCACUGUAAGCCACCGCAUGUAAAAUUUUCAAUUAUCACGAUUGCUUUCUAAAAUCCCCAAAAUUUCCACCUUUCUUUGAUUUUGAUGACUUUUAAAUUUGUUGAAAUUUGUGAUUUUUCUCAAACUUUUGUCUCAAAUAUUGAGAAAGAAUCAUGAGUCCGCUACACCCCACUACAUUCUGCAUCUCCGAACCCUAAUGUAAAUCGAUAGCAGCAGCAAGCCUUAGCAAUUAGACAUACAAAUCCUCUAAAGAAAAUGCGCCACCGACAUCAAAUCCGAAUUCGACUGUGUCAACUGCCACUGCCAUGAUAAAGAGCCCGCUUCCUCUAUAGCCCACGCUCAAGAGGAAGCUCUAUGUGGAGGCCGUAGUCGGGUUGGAGGAUAGUGAUGGACCCGCGAAUCCUGUCGAUUCUGGACAUUCAAUUUCAGCAUCUUCACAUCAACAUUGCAAUAAAGCUUGAUUUCCUAAUUUGGGGCAAGUUCACUCAUUCUUUUAAGAGUUAUGUACUGAAUUGAGGAGUUGGGAAAAUUAGGCUUGGUUUUUCUGACUGGAUUGAUGCGGUUUAUGCUUGUAAUUAAACAUGAAUUCACUUUUCCCUCUUUGAUUUCAUAGGUGUGGAUAGGGUGUCCGCAAAAAUGAUAGAAAAAAGAAUGAGUGUUGGAUUUUACUGUAGCUUUUAUUUUUGUAAUUGAUAGUUUUUUAAAACACAGCUUUUGCUAUGGAAUAGAAACAGGCUAUUAUUACUCUCUAAA